rnacentral:rRNA from 1 species
CCCUUAGAUGUUCUGGGCUGCACGCGCGCUACACUGAUGCGCUCAACGAGUUUAUGACCUUGCCCGGAAGGGUUGGGUAAUCUUCUUAAAACGCAUCGUGAUGGGGAUAGAUUAUUGCAAUUAUUAAUCUUCAACGAGGAAUUCCUAGUAAGCGCGAGUCAUCAGCUCGUGCUGAUUACGUCCCUGCCCUUUGUACACACCGCCCGUCGCUACUACCGAUUGAACGGUUUAGUGAGGGCCUCGGAUUGGUCUCGGCCCGCUCUUUACCGGGCGGCGCCGUUGGUCGAGAAGACGCUCGAACUUGAUCGUUUAGAGGAAGUAAAAGUCGUAACA